AUACAAAGAUUAUGAGAAUCGAUAAUAUCAACAAGGUCUCUUCCACAAGUUUUUGUUGUAGAACAACCCCAUGACUCAUGAUGAGAAUUAAAAUCUCCUACAAUUAAAAAUGGUUUAGGUAAAAUAGAAAUAAUGUUGUUUAUUUCUCUAAAUAUAGAAGGACACGGACGCGGGAUAUAAAUAGAUACAAAACAAAUAUUAUUAACAAUGGAUGCUAUUAUGGAAAAAUCAUUAUGGUGAGAUGGUAAGUCAAACUGGGAAAAAUUAAGGGACUUUUUGAUGAGUAUGGCAACACCGCCAUACCCAUCGGCUCUAUCUUCCCUGAGACAGGAAUAACCAGGAAUUUUAAAACAAAAUCCCGGUUUUAACCACGUCUCACAUAGAGCUAUAAUACAAGGGUUAAAUUUGUUAAUAAGAUAAAUUAAAUCAGAUUUGUUCUUCACUACGCUUCUGCAGUUCCAUUGUAGUACUUUGCCUAAACAUGUCCACUGGUACACCUCUUACAAGCCCCAUUCUGGUAACAUUAAAUGAUGGAAUAAAGGCUUCAUAGCCUUUUUCCAAUAAGGCAUGAUGCUUUAUAAAAGAAUUUGCAGCUGAGUGACUGGAGAAUGCCAUCGAAAUUUUGUUGCGACCGAUACGUUUCAAACUGCCUUGUACUAUGUUCGGCACCUGGAUUUUAUAUAAAAAUCUGCCAAAGCAUAUUGGAUGCAAGUUGAGAUCCUGUGUUACCUCACCAGUACUAGACCUAGCAACAUGAAUAAUGAAUGGUGAAGCAUCCAAUGCAGAAUAUUCUUUUCUAAUACCAUCUGUUAUAUUGGGAGGUACCUGAGAGGCCUGAGAUGGAAGAGCUUGUGUAUGUGGUGCUUUGAGAGGUGAUGGAUUUUCAGUGAUUUUUUCGUCACUGUCUUCGCAACGACAUCCAGUUCUACCCGAGUCUACAGCCAUUGCAUUUUUGCGUUUUUUUUUAUUACAUAUUUUGCACACCUUACUUAA